GAAGGUUGUUUGGGUAUGGACUAUGAAUCUACCAUAUAGCACUAAUCGGUGACAUCAACGCCAACACUUGAUUUGAUCUCUUCACCACAGCAUUGAACCAAUGUCUCGAAGUCUACAUUAGAGGUGUUUCUUGAAUUGAGAUCGCAGUUAGAUGAUCAUACCAAUUAGGCARAGCUGAGGUGGAAGAACGAAGCUGCGCAACAAGAUCUGAAACCAAAGUGGUUAAAGGCCCUAGGAGUUAUUCCCCGGGUAGGUACUCCGACGCUCAAGUUAGUCAAGAAUGGUGGGUGGUUGAGCCAAGCAGGUGAGAGGACAGUGCUGGUCUGAGCAGAGUAACAGUAUAGAUGCUAAGAAGUAAAAAGUCGAAUCCCUUACCUUGAGCAGGAGUUACCUUUUUAUAGCCAAAGAUCCAUUUCUUAAUUAGAUGAGGCUUCCAGGGUUGUCGGGAUGAGGUUGUUCACCGAGAUCUUCGGGAUAAGACCUAAUUCCCGACGGAGCUGUCCUCCUUAUCCGUACGACGCUCUCCUGUUUUGRUCAUGCUUAUCUGAUGACGUGGUGCCAAUGUGGCUAAAGUGAUAAGGCGGCCACGAAGAUGACAUGUGGCACCCGAGGCCAGCUUAACCAUAACCCAAACACUUGUGAACUCAAUGUUGGAAUCCCAUACAAGGAAGCUAUUACCAGGGGAUCUACUAUCCACAUUAUUCAUUAGUUGAUUAAGAGUAGGACAACAUAGAUGUCCACAUAGUAUUCUACAAUCUAAUCCACUCUUAUUCACUUCCAUCUUUGCUUGAUUAUCUUUUAAGUUGUUGGCAGUAUUGGAAAUCCAGCUGAACAAACAUUAAAGGUUGUAAGAUAAAAAGUUAAUGCUUUUCUAAGAGUGGUUUUGAUUGUAGUCAAUCUAUCACAACUUGAUAAUCUUAAACAAAAUAUCUCAUUCUUGCAAA